rnacentral:rRNA from 1 species
CUGCAGUCGAGCGGAAACGAUCCUAGCUUGCUAGGAGGCGUCGAGCGGCGGACGGGUGAGUAACACGUGAGAAUCUGCCCAUUAGAGGGGGAUAACCUGGGGAAACCCAGGCUAAUACCGCAUAAUCCCUACGGGGGAAAGCAGGGGAUCUUCGGACCUUGUGCUGAUGGAUGAGCUCGCGUCGGAUUAGCUUGUUGGUGAGGUAAUGGCUCACCAAGGCGACGAUCCGUAGCUGGUCUUAGAGGAUGAUCAGCCACACCGGGACUGAGACACGGCCCGGACUCCUACGGGAGGCAGCAGUGGGGAAUCUUGGACAAUGGGGGCAACCCUGAUCCAGCCAUGCCGCGUGUGUGAAGAAGGCCUUCGGGUUGUAAAGCACUUUCAGUAGGGAGGAAGGCUUAUCCUUAAUACGGAUGAGUACUUGACGUUACCUACAGAAGAAGCACCGGCUAAUUUCGUGCCAGCAGCCGCGGUAAU